GUGAGACAGUUGUGUUAAAACAUAAGUUACGCCACAUUACAACAGUCCUGUGAACUAAAUAGUCAUCUGCAUUGGAACUGUUUACCCAGACAUAAAGAGAGGAGGUGAAUUAAUUGUUCUUACAAUCCUUGAUGAAGAACAUUAAAGAGUCUCUUAAGGAGCGUCAUAAGCUUUAACUCAUGUUUUUCUUCAAACAGACAGCCAUUCUGACCAGCUCUACAACAAAACGUCUGACCUGUGUGUUCAUGUUGACUCGAUACUGUCACUAUCAAUUCUGUUUCAACUGCAGCUUUAAGGGGAGGAGCUUCAGACAUCUUCUGUUUGACAAGGAAAGAAUGCAAAGUUUAGGUGAACAGUUUGUGUUGAUCUAAAACUUCAUCAUCUGCUUAUCAUCAACAUGUUGCUCUUCUUAACUGGUUUGAUUUGUUCUCUUAUUUGUGACAGUUUGGCAAAUAUCAUGCCAGUCCAGACUAAGGUUUAUGAGAAAGAGGGAGAAAUUGUUUCUCUGUCCUGUAACUACUCCUCAGCAUCCACACUACAGUGGUAUCGCCAAUAUCCCGGAUCAGCUCCUGAAUUUCUUCUGGCCAUUUCACCUUACUCAGGAAAAGUUUCACAAAAGUCAGAAAUUGUGGAUCAAGAUCCUCGAUUCUCUGGAAAAGUGAAUGAAUUGAAAACCCACAUGUAUCUGAACAUCUCUACGGCUAAAGUGACAGACUCUGCAAUUUACUACUGUGCCCUGGAGCCCACAGUGAGAGGAAACACUAGAACACUGUAUAAAAACCCUCUCAACAGCAAUACUAGAUGAGAUCAACCUCUCAAGAAACAUUAAGACUCGUCUGAUGUGAUCAUGGAAAGAGUCCAAAUGGCCAGUCAACAAAUAGA